rnacentral:rRNA from 1 species
GAUCCUGGCUCAGGAUGAACGCUAGCUACAGGCUUAACACAUGCAAGUCGAGGGGCAGCAUGAACUUAGCUUGCUAAGUUUGAUGGCGACCGGCGCACGGGUGAGUAACACGUAUCCAACCUGCCGAUGACUCGGGGAUAGCCUUUCGAAAGAAAGAUUAGUACCCGAUGGCAUAGUUCUUCCGCAUGGUAGAACUACUAAAGAAUUUCGGUCAUUGAUGGGGAUGCGUUCCAUUAGGUUG